UUUUUAAAGCGAACAAGGGCGCAUGGUGGAUGCCUUGGCUCCAGGAGGCGAUGAAGGACGUGGUAAGCUGCGAUAAGCCACGGGGAGCUGCAAACAAGCUUUGAUCCGUGGAUCUCCGAAUGGGGCAACCCGGCUGGCUGAAGGCCAGUCAUCCUCUGGUUGAACCGGAGGAGGCAAACCCAGGGAACUGAAACAUCUCAGUACCUGGAGGAAAAGAAAACAAUAGUGAUUCCCUGAGUAGUGGCGAGCGAAAGGGGAAGAGCCCAAACCUUCCGGCCUAGCCGGAAGGGGUUGUAGGACUGCAUGUAGGCUGUUGUGCCAAGCUGAAUCUUGCUGGAAAGCGGAGCCAUAGCAGGUGAAAGCCCUGUAAGCGUACCGCACAGCAGCUGAGCAGUAUCCUGAGUAGCGCGGGACCGGUGAAAUCCUGCGUGAAUCUGCCGGCACCAUCCGGUAAGGCUAAAUACUCCCUGGAGACCGAUAGUGCACCAGUACCGUAAGGGAAAGGUGAAAAGUACCCCGAACAGGGGAGUGAAAUAGUACCUGAAACCAUGUGCCUACAAGCGGUCGGAGUCUCAGCUCUGCUGGGAUGACGGCGUGCCUUUUGCAUAAUGAGCCUACGAGUUACCCUCACUGGCGAGGUUAAUCCCCUCAGGGGAGGAGCCGCAGCGAAAGCGAGUCCUAACAGGGCGCCAUAGUCAGUGGGGGUAGACGCGAAACUUAGUGAUCUAUCCAUGAGCAGGAUGAAAUCCCGGUAACACGGGAUGGAGGUCCGAACCGGUUAGCGUUGAAAAGCUAUCGGAUGACUUGUGGAUAGGGGUGAAAGGCCAAUCAAACUGAGAGAUAGCUCGUUCUCCCCGAAAUGUUUUUAGGAACAGCCUCGGACUUGUGUAUCACAGAGGUAGAGCUACUGAUUGGGCUAGGGGGUGUCACAGCCUGCCAAACCCUGACAAACUCCGAAUGCUGUGAUAUGAAUCCGGGAGUGAGGCUGUGGGCGCUAAGGUCCAUGGCCGAGAGGGGAACAACCCAGACUAUCGGCUAAGGUCCCUAAAUGCAUGUUAAGUUGAGCAAACGAAGUUUCAACCCAGUGACAGCUAGGAUGUUGGCUUGGAAGCAGCCAUUCAUUUAAAGAGUGCGUAACAGCUCACUAGUCGAGGGUUGGAGCACGGAAAAUAAUCGGGCAUCAAACAUGCUACCGAAGCCAUAGGUUUGCUCCGGCUCAGCCGGAACAAGCGGUAGGGGAGCAUUCCAAACUGCGUUGAAGGUGAUCCGCGAGGAUUGCUGGAGCGUUUGGAAAAGAAAAUGUAGGCAUAAGUAACGAUAAAUCCCGUGAAAAACGGGAUCACCGUAAGACUAAGGUUUCCUGAUCAACGUUAAUCGGAUCAGGGUUAGUCGGGUCCUUAGGCGAAGCCGAAAGGCGUAGCUGAUGGGAAGCUGGUUAAUAUUCCAGCACCUGCUCUGGUUUCGAUGGGGUGACGGAGUGAUGAAAGGUCCGCCUCGUGACGGAAUACGAGGUUAAAGCGUGUAGAUAUACCUGCUGCAGGCAAAUCCACAGCGGGUGUCGAACGUGAUAGUACCGCAAAGCUUCGGCCGCGCGGAUAGUGACCCUAAGCGCUCCCGAGAAAAACCUCUAAGGCGUGGCCAGAGCAGCCCGUACCGGAAACCGACACAGGUAGUCGAGGAGAACAUCCUCAGGUGCUCGGGUGAGCCGUGGAGAAGGAACUAGGCAAAUUAGCCCCGUAACUUCGGAAAAAGGGGUGCCUCCUCCUCCGGCCCUGCCGGAGGAAAGGUCGCAGUGAAAGGGUCCAACCGACUGUUUAACAAAAACACAGGGCUCUGCAAAAUCGAAAGAUGACGUAUAGGGCCUGAUACCUGCCCGGUGCCGGAAGGUUAAGGAAGGGGGUCAUUCGCCGCAAGGCGGAGAAGCUCCCGACUGAAGCCCCGGUAAACGGCGGCCGUAACUAUAACGGUCCUAAGGUUCGAGCGAAAUUCCUUGUCGGGUAAGUUCCGACCUGCACGAAUGGUCUAACGAGUUGGACACUGUCUCCUCCACGAGCCCGGUGAAAUUGUAGUAUCGGUGAAGAUGCCGGUUAACCGCCACGGGACGGAAAGACCCCGUGAACCUUCACUACAACUUUGCAUUGGUCCCGAGUAAGUGAUGUGUAGGAUAGUUGGGAGACUGUGAAGCCACCUCGCCAGGGGUGGUGGAGUCGCCGUUGAAAUACCAACCUUCAUUUACUUGGGAUCUAAUCCCCCGUAAACCGGGGGAGACAGUGCAUGGUGGGUAGUUUGACUGGGGUGGUCGCCUCCUAAAAAGUAACGGAGGCUCGCAAAGGUACCCUCAGUACGGUUGGUAAUCGUACGUAGAGUGCAUUAGCAUAAGGGUGCUUGACUGUGAGGCUGACCAGCCGAGCAGGUGCGAAAGCAGGCUAAAGUGAUCCGGUGGUUCUGCAUGGAAGGGCCAUCGCUCAAAGGAUAAAAGGUACUCCGGGGAUAACAGGCUGAUCUCCCCCAAGAGCUCACAUCGACGGGGAGGUUUGGCACCUCGAUGUCGGUUCGUCACAUCCUGGGGCUGGAGAAGGUCCCAAGGGUUGGGCUGUUCGCCCAUUAAAGUGGCACGUGAACUGGGUUCAGAACGUCGCAAGACAGUUCGGUCCCUAUCUGUGGCGGUCGUUAGAGAAUUGAGGGGAUAUGACCCUAGUACGAGAGGACCGGGUCGUACGGACCGCUGGUGUACCAGUUGUGCCGCCAGGUGCAGCGCUGGGUAGCUAUGUCCGGUCAGGAUAAACGCUGAAAGCAUCUAAGCGUGAAACCUACCCCAAGAUGAGUUCUCUUUUAAGGGCCCUCGUAGACGACGAGGUUGAUAGGCUACAGGUGUAAGCCCUGAAAGGGGUUGAGCCGAGUAGUACUAAUUGCCCGUAAGCUUUAAAUUU
rnacentral:rRNA from 1 species